GGACGGGCCCGUCGUUCGGCAGAAAUGGAUUCUCUACCAAGGCUGCCCAGCGUUUGGACUUUGCUGUUCUCCGGCUUCUGGCAUUUAGGAUUAACAGCUACCAAUUGUUGCUUUACAAAAAGAUCUAAGUGGUUGCCAGAGAAUUUAGGUGUGUUGCUGAGCUAG
rnacentral:lncRNA from 1 species